CUACUACUCCCUCCGUCCGGAAAUACUUGUCGGAAGAUAGGAUGUAUCUAGACGUAUUUUAGUUUUAGAUACAUCCAUUUUUAUGCAUUUCUCCGACAAGUAUUUCCGGACGGAGGGAGUAUUUU
rfam:Triticum aestivum genome assembly, contig: Triticum_aestivum_CS42_TGACv1_scaffold_500781_6BL